ACCGGUUGAUCCUGCCGGACCCGACCGCUAUCGGGGUAGGGCUAAGCCAUGCGAGUCGCGCGCCCGGGGGCGCCCGGGAGCGGCGCACGGCUCAGUAACACGUGCCCAACCUACCCUCGGGAGGGGGACACCCCCGGGAAACUGGGGCCAACCCCCCAUAGGGGAAGGGCGCUGGAAGGCCCCCUCCCCGAAAGGACGGCGGCCGAUCCGCCGCCGCCCGCCCGAGGAUGGGGGCACGGCCCAUCAGGUAGUUGGCGGGUUAAAGGCCCGCCAAGCCGAAGACGGGUAGGGGCGGUGAGAGCCGCGAGCCCCGAGAUCGGCACUGAGACAAGGGCCGAGGCCCUACGGGGUGCAGCAGGCGCGAAUACUCCGCAAUGCGGGCAACCGCGACGGGGCUACCCCGAGUGCCGGGCGAAGAGCCCGGCUUUUGCCCGGUCUAAAAAGCCGGGAGAAUAAGCGGGGGGCAAGUCUGGUGUCAGCCGCCGCGGUAAUACCAGCUCCGCGAGUGGUCGGGGUGUUUACUGGGCUUAAAGCGCCCGUAGCCGGCCCGGCAAGUCGCUCCUGAAAUCCCAGGGCCCAACCCUGAGGCGGGGGGCGAUACUGCCGGGCUAGGGGGCGGAAGAGGCCGCCGGUACUCCGGGGGUAGGGGCGAAAUCCGUUAAUCCCCGGAGGACCACCAGUGGCGAAAGCGGGCGGCCAGAACGCGCCCGACGGUGAGGGGCGAAAGCCGGGGGAGCAAAGGGGAUUAGAUACCCCUGUAGUCCCGGCCGUAAACGAUGCGGGCUAGCUGUCGGCUGGGCUUAGGGCCCGGCCGGUGGCGAAGGGAAACCGUUAAGCCCGCCGCCUGGGGAGUACGGCCGCAAGGCUGAAACUUAAAGGAAUUGGCGGGGGGGCACCACAAGGGGUGAAGCUUGCGGCUUAAUUGGAGUCAACGCCGGAAACCUCACCCGGGGCGACAGCAGGAUGAAGGCCAGGCUAACGACCUUGCCGGACGAGCUGAGAGGAGGUGCAUGGCCGUCGUCAGCUCGUGCCGUGAGGUGUCCGGUUAACCCGUGCCCACCACGGGGCCGAAAGUCCGGCAACGAGCGAGACCCCCGCCCCUAGUUGCUACCCGGUCCUUCGGGGCCGGGGGCACACUAGGGGGACUGCCGGCGUAAGCCGGAGGAAGGAGGGGGCCACGGCAGGUCAGUAUAGGGCCUCGAGCCGCGAGGCAGAGGCCCGCUGAAGCCCCGAAAGCCGUGGCCCCGCCCUUAUACACCCCCAUCUAGAGGGGUAUCUGCCUAAACUCUGGGCCUACUUAGUGGGCUUAAUCGCCGCAGAUAGACACGUCGAGAAGAAGAGAGUUGUUCUUGCGCAGAAAGACGUAAUAUAUCUAUCCCUGGUGUGGGCCAUGCUGGCGCGGCUAGGCGUCGCCGCCACAAAACCCUUCCUAGAUAAGAGAGCAGGCGUGUACAAGAUCUACAUAAACAGCCGCGAAUUCCACCGACGGGUAGUUGCUUACGUGCCGAUGGGCAGAAAAAGCAACGUCCUGCCUCCUCCGCCGCUGGAGGGCGAGGAGGCCCUUAUGUACAUCGCCGGCUUCACCGAUGGAGACGGGUGGGUAGAACACGUCAUAAAGAAACGCGGAGAGAAGAGGUACUGCUACCUAAGAAUCGGGAUAAAGACAAAAAGCCAAAAACUCAGAGACUAGAUGCACGACACCCUGCUUAAGCUCGGCAUAAGGCUGCACAAGGCCGACAAGAAAAGCGGAUAUGAAGUCCACAUCGACACCCCAGACCCCCACAGGCUAGGAGACCCCCUCCUAAAUCCCACCCACGUGAAAAAACUCGCCCUUCUCCAACGGGCGGGGCCCGGCCGGGAAACCCCGGGGCUGCACGCGAGCUGCAAUGGCGGGGACAGCGGGACCCGACCCCGAAAGGGGGAGGCAAUCCCGUAAACCCCGCCCCAGUAGGGAUCGAGGGCUGCAACUCGCCCUCGUGAACGUGGAAUCCCUAGUAACCGCGUGUCACCAACGCGCGGUGAAUACGUCCCUGCCCCUUAGGCGGGCCGCUGCGGCUUGUUUUUAAG
rnacentral:rRNA from 1 species